GGCCCCCCGCCGCACAACAAUCAUGGGGGGUCACACCUGCACAAUGCCCUACGGGGUCAAUUGCCGCGGUAACCUGACCGUGCAAAGGUAGCAUAAUCAUUUGCCUAUUAAUUGUUGGCUUGUAUGAAUGGUUCGACGCUGGUGGCACUGUCUCGGCAACAAUUAUUUGAAUUUAACCUCCUGGUGAAAAGGCCAGGAUUUUAUUGAAAGACGAUUAGACCCUGUCGAACUUCAGGUAGAGUGGGGUAACUGGCGGUCAAGGCUGAGCGGUUUACCCCUUAAACCUUUGGUUGGGGAAACCGGGGGUAAUAAAAAUCACCCCCUCCUUGCUAUAAAACACCCGUCAUGUGAGGAGUUAUUGACGACUUAACUUCAUAGGGAAUUGGCCUUUUAGGACAGUUACCUGUUUUUAUAGAUUAAAGGCUUGACAAAGCAUAGCUUACUUAUUGAAUGAACCUAAAGACCUUUUUAAGGGAAGCUGUUAAAAAGGAAGAGUUACCGCAGGGAUAACAGCGUUAUCCUCCCGGCGAGACCACAUUAAGGGGAGGGUUUGCGACCUCGAUGUUGGCUCAGGGCCUCCUAGAAGUGCAGGGGCUUCUAAGGGUUGGUCUGUUCGACCAUUAAAGCCCUACGU
rnacentral:rRNA from 1 species